rnacentral:misc_RNA from 1 species
GAAAUGCGAUAAGUCAUGUGAAUUGCAGAAUUCAGUGGAUCAUCGAAUCUUUGAACGCACAUUGCGCCCGCUUGUAUUCCGGGGGGCAUGCCUGUUCGAGCGUCAUUUCACCACUCAAGCCUCGCUUGGUAUUGGGCAUCGCGGUCCGCCGCGUGCCUCAAAUCGACCGGCUGGGUCUUCUGUCCCCUAAGCGUUGUGGAAACUAUUCGCUAAAGGGUGUUCGGGAGACUACGCCGUAAAACACCCGCAUUUCUAAGGUUUACCUCGGAUCAGGUAGGGAUACCCGCUGAACUUAA